rnacentral:rRNA from 1 species
ACUCCUACGGGAGGCAGCAGUGGGGAAUUUUGGACAAUGGGCGAAAGCCUGAUCCAGCAAUGCCGCGUGAGUGAAGAAGGCCUUCGGGUUGUAAAGCUCUUUUGUCAGGGAAGAAACGGUGAAAGCUAAUAUCUUUUGCUAAUGACGGUACCUGAAGAAUAAGCACCGGCUAACUACGUGCCAGCAGCCGCGGUAAUACGUAGGGUGCAAGCGUUAAUCGGAAUUACUGGGCGUAAAGCGUGCGCAGGCGGUUUUGUAAGUCUGAUGUGAAAUCCCCGGGCUCAACCUGGGAAUUGCAUUGGAGACUGCAAGGCUAGAAUCUGGCAGAGGGGGGUAGAAUUCCACGUGUAGCAGUGAAAUGCGUAGAUAUGUGGAGGAACACCGAUGGCGAAGGCAGCCCCCUGGGUCAAGAUUGACGCUCAUGCACGAAAGCGUGGGGAGCAAACAGGAUUAGAUACCCCUGUAGUCCCA